rnacentral:rRNA from 1 species
CCCUGGGUUAAACGGCCGCGGUAUUUUAACCGUGCGAAGGUAGCGCAAUCACUUGUCCUUUAAAUGAAGACCUGUAUGAAUGGCUAGACGAGGGCUUAACUGUCUCCUCCCCCCAGUCAGUGAAAUUGAUCUCCCCGUGCAGAAGCGGGGAUUAGUACAUAAGACGAGAAGACCCUAUGGAGCUUUAGACACUAGGCAGCCCACGUCAUGCUUCCUCCUAUAAGGGGAAGAAACAUUGUGGCCCCUGUCUCCACUGUCUUCGGUUGGGGCGACCGCGGAGGAUAGAAGAGCCUCCAUGUGGACCGAGGUUACGAGCCUCACAGCCAAGGGCUCCCGCCCUAGGCAACAGGAAUUCUGACCAGACUGAUCCGGCGUACUGCCGAUUAACGGAACAAGUUACCCUAGGGAUAACAGCGCAAUCCUCUCCCAGAGUCCCUAUCGACGAGAGGGUUUACGACCUCGAUGUUGGAUCAGGACAUCCUAUUGGUGCAGCCGCUAAUAAGGGUUCGUUUGUUCAACGAUUAAAGUCCUACGUGA